CAUGUGCAGUAGUAAUCGUACGCCGGUUACCAGUCAAAACCAUACUGAUGUGGAAGAUGGUGAUGAUGAUCAUGACGUGACAAUCUUUGUCGAGAUAUUUUGGCCUUUUUCGUUAUUUUAAAAGCACAUUGGCAGUGGAAGAUGGAGCCAAAACGUAUCCUUUAUCCUUUGUUGUUUUUUACAUGCAUUCAACUGAGUGUAGUUAUCGCUGCGUUUCGCAACAACAAACAGACUUUCGUUGAGAAUGUUGCGCACCCACAAAUACAACGCAAAGUCAAUGGGAGACACAGGUCACAUAUUGUCACUUUGUAUGGCGACAAUCAUGACAAUGAACGCAGCCAGAAAAGAGGGAUUGCCAAGACGUUCGUUCGGAAUGAUGAACACCCACAAAUUCAGCGCAAAGUGAAUGGAAGACACAAGUCACCAUAUGAACCUUUUGAUGGGAGCAAUAGCAAAAGAGCACCUGUACAGGAAAACAAACCUCAAAAGACAAAGUCGGCAGAUGAAAAUACCAAGUCCACAAGUGCUACACCAGUUGCAACAGCCAAGCCAGUAACUGACCUACCAAAAACCACAGCUGAACCUGGAAAACAACAAACUGGGAACAACAGCAAGAGCGACAGUGGUGGCGGGGGGUUCAAUUUCCCCAUGAACACAGCGAACAUGGUGGACACAAAAACAGCAUUUUUCAUUCUUGUUGGAGUCACUGUGCUUGUAAUUGGCUGCUUUGCCUUCAGAAUAAUCAGAUCAAGGUCCAGGAGAAAAACCAAGAAGUACGGCAUCCUAGCAACACGAGGAUCAGAAGUUGAGUUGACUCCUCUUGAUCAGGAGGAAGACGAUGAAGAUAUGACAGUAUUUGAUGCCAACUCUAAAUAGCUGCAGUGAGAGAGUCAUGACUUUGCAACGCAACACUGAAACGUUGAGAACCGGAAGUGACUUAUGCUGCAUUGUAGGUACAUACACCAGUCCAGUCUAGUAUGCAGACUAGUCAUAGUGGUGCCUUUUUGUCUUCGUCUGUUCUUUGGCAUCAUCUCUGGAUUCAGAAUCUUUGGGAAGCAUAGCAAUUUGAAAUACCCAAAACUUUGACCACACUUAGGUGUGGGCGGGAUGACUACAAUCGUGAAAACACCUAUUCAUUUGCACACCAGUUUUCACGAGUUGCAGUGAGUUACAUGUACCAUUCAUUGCUCCAGACUCAAGAACUAUUGAGUUUUAAGUAAAUAGGUCUGGGAACUAGACAAGGCAAUAUCAGAAGCCCCCCCCCCCCAAGUCCACGCUCACCUAUAACCCUGCUAAAUGCAACAGAAUGCACCAGUGGCAAAAAGUUGUUGCAUUUAGCAGAGUCCUGAUCUGCUUUAUGUUGCAUUUAGCAGGGUAGGUACUUGGUACCGAGGCUGGCAUGUAUUAGUUCACUGCAUUCUGUUGCAUUUGCCAGGGUGCCCAGAGAAUACCCUUUGGGGGUUAGGGUUAAUAAUAAUAGGGGUAUUUAUAAAGCACAUGUAUCCACCAGAACUGGUGCUCAAGGCACUACAUCAUUAUUACCUCUGCUCAUUGGGUCCAUGAAACAUUCCAAAUACCAUCUCAGCUCCCUGGGGAGUAUACAGCUCGAUGCAGCCUGUAAGGCGCAAUGAAGCUACAUGUAAUUCAAUCACAACAACCAUCCCUGCCCUCACCUAUACCCACUUUUUUUAAAAUUCAAUUCAAUUCAAUAAUGGUGUAUUAAAAACAUGUCUCGCAGUUAAAAAAAAAUGAAUUGUACAUGUGAACAUUUACUCCUGGGUGGAGAGAAGCAAUUAUGUGUAUUGUAGUUUUUAGUCAGUCUAAAUUUGAACCCAAAGUUGGAGACAAAGUGGAGGUUAAAGAAAUGUAAUGAUGAACAUACUAGUUUUAACUGGUCGUCAUCUUGUUCUUUUAGACUUCAUACAGAAGGACUCUUGGGACCAACGAUUUCAGAAAUGUAAAAAUGGGUUAAAAUUCCCAUUUUUAAAUGGUAUACAGCAUUUGGAGUGUGCAACUUAUUUGGAAAACAAGAUAAUAAAAAUCCAGUUUAAAAUUAUCAAUGUGAAAAUGCACAACUUUUGGUAAUUUUGUUGGUUUCACACUCACUCAUCGACGUCUUUAGUGAUGCUAGCUGCCUCAGCAACUCGGAAGGCAAGCAUUCGCCAUGCUUCUCUCUGUUCAGCUUCUUGGAAGAUUUCUGGACUUGAUCUUCUUGUCCAUGUCGUGAUAUUUCCCAGGAAGUUUGUUCUGGGUCUUCCCCUUCUACUUUGUUGGUAUGCCUUUCCUUUCCUUGUUGGUUUCACUUAUUUAUAUUUAGUGACAAAAUUGUAAAUAAGAUUGUUUAACAGAACAUUUAGCAUUUUUUUAAAGUGACUUACACUUCAUGACACACACAAAGGAAUAGGGGACUGUAAAUAAGGAUGGAAUUUAGGAAAUUCUGAAAUUUGAAAACACAUAGUGUAUGGUGUAGUUGAGUAGUUGAGUAGUAGCUGUAAGUGUUCUCCUGUAGUACAACUCAAUAUUAAUGAUUAUUCUGGUUAAACUUCAAAAAAAAUUGAAAGUAAAAGGCGGUGUCAUCUUUGGCAUGUUUAGACUGGGAAAAUGAUGAAAAAUGUGCUUCCAUAUUCUUUUGAUAAAACACUAACCAUCCCUAAACACUCCAAAAUCCAGCAGGUUUUGAGGAUAUUAGAGUCCAGCCGGCCACUGGGGGCUGGAUGCUGCUAUGCCCCAACUAAACCUUUGGUCCCAACUAAAGUUGAGAUGCUCCCAACUUAAGCGGUGACCCAACUGAAGUGUUCCAACAGAAGUGUUCUAACUUAAGUUGGGACACUUAUUCCCAGCUUAAGUUGGAACCAUAUUCUUGUGUGGGCAUAACAAUGCCCUUUAAAGUUGAAGUACACAAACUGUCAUUGAUUUCAUGCAAAGUGGACGGUUCAGAAGGAUUCAAGAAGAUUACCAGCAAAGAUCUUUAGAGAAUUAGGCUGAAUUUGUUUUAAAAAAAAUCUAUUUGGGAAAGCUGUCAGUGUACUUCACAAAUGUAUAGUGUAAAUAUAAAUCAACACACAUGUUAUUCAAAUUUGCAUUCUCGACUUCAUACUCUGUACAUAUAUAUACUACAUUAUAAUCAAUUAGUUAGUCAAUCAAUCAUUUGCCAUAAAAGGAAUGCCAUGUUUGGCCAUGUGUUAUUAAGGUAGCAGCACUAGAGCAGAUGGUUUUGUGAAAAAAGACCAUAUUGUUAUAUUUGUUUUGUCUUGCUUCAUUUUAUGCAGAUAUUGUCUGUGUAAUGUGUUUUAUGACUCUGCGGAAAACACGUAUUACAUUAUUUUCAUUGUUGUUUUCACGAAGGGAUAAAUGUAGUGGGGCGAGGGAUACAUAAUAUGUACAUGUAUAAAAUUCGUAUACUUUGUGAAAACUCGAUAAUUUAAUGAUGUUAAACCAGAGAUGAAAAUAUUGGUUUUUGAAUUUGAAACCAAACUAAUCACUAGAAAGUUUGUAGAAAUAUAACAAUUUACACAUAAUUUAUAAAUGCUCAUUUACUCAAAUAAAAUAUUUAAUAUUGAAAGGUGAUAAAUUUAUAAGGAUAUGAAGAAAGAAAGGCAGAAAUUAAUCUGAAUUAAAAGAAAAAAAAUCCGGAAGGAAAACUGCAAUGUCAAUUUUCAUGAGAUGAUAUUCUAAGCAUUGAUGUGACUUAUUUACCGAUGUGAUCAGAUGCUACGGUUGAGACCCAUAAGUAUUCCGUUAUUGACUCUUUGCAUUGCUAACAUCUUGGAGGUGCAUGGUUAUAUUCCACAAGGUGUGCAUGAGUGGGUCUCUUAGACAUUCAUGUUUACUGAAUGAGCAUAACAAAGCACGUCAAAGAGGAAUGCAUAGGGUCUGCUCUUAACUCAUAUUUUUGAUUAUUGUCUAUUUUUCAAAGAUUUUUGCUUAGAUAUAAUGAACUGUUGGUAACUCAUGAUUCUCAAAAGGAAACGAUAGUAAUAUAUGCAGUACACAAAUUAUAACAGCCUGUUCAUGUUUCAUGAGAAUUUAGAGCGAACGUCAGUGUUGCUGACGUCAUAAUUAUUCGCUUCUCUUUCAGGUGGAGCAUGCACCUACUUCCCUGCUAGUUAUUUAUAACUCUAAAAUGUCACGUGCUUGCAGAUCGUAUAUUAAUAAUUUAUAAAUGAAAACUGAAAAUUGUUGUUACCCUUCUAUAUCACUUUCAGUCCGUGGAAAAGAUUUUCAGGUUGCAAUUAUUAGAAGUGAAACUGCUCAAGCGUGUUAAAUUAUAAGUGAAUACGGUACAAUGUACGCCGAUAUGAUAUUAGCCCGGUAAUUAAUUUCUUCGAUUUAUGCGGCGAAUGUUAUUUGUCCAAUUCUGUGCAUUACGCUCACUCCUCGAUUUUGCAAUGGAUCUGGAUAUUUUUUUAUAGAUUUCAGCCGUCCAUUGCUCUCUUUCUCUUGGAAAAGAUCAAAAGGAAUUUAUUGUUUUACUUUUUUUUUUAAUUUAGUCAGUGUUGGUAAGUUCACACAUCCAAUUCUUUAAAUGACUUUGCUGUAUAUUACUGAUAUUUAAUUAUGAAUGUCUUUGGCCGUAUUGGACACGGUUCUAAAAAAAAAAUACAGAUUUAAUCCUUGGGUAUUUAUUUGAUGUUUCUGUACUGUUUCGAAGUCGUAGCACGUUGGUUUUCCUCUCUUCACUGUAGAUGCAUAAGCUAAAACUAUCCGUGGUUUUAUGCUCAUAUAAUUAAGCUAAAUAAUAUGUUAUUAUGUCAAGUAUUUUAUUUUGUCAGAGCUAAUUUCGCUAAAGGGCUACUUUGGUUAUUGUUCUCUACCUGUAUUUGUAAAUGCGUUUUUGUUAUUUAUUAAAACUUAUAUAUCAAUCCACUAGGAUUUUUGCGUUGAAUAUCCGUAUUAGCAAUGCCUGCAAUCUCAGUUUGUUUUUGAAAUCUCAGUUUGUUUUUGAAAAUUAAUUAAUUGAGAAUGAAAUACGUACAUAACAUUACCUUUUAUUUAUGCAUGAUCUGUCUCGUUUCCAAAUCCACCGUUCUUUGUAUAUAGGCCUAUACUGCAUUGCUUUUGAUGCAAUUAAAUUGAAAUCAUUAACGCUACUUGAACACGUUGUACUUUAUGGUUGUAGACCUGCUUGAUUUCGUAUGCAUGGAAAUAAAGUUCAGAAAAGUAUGUUCAUUAACACUACGACCACA